rnacentral:rRNA from 1 species
UAGGGAAUAUUAGUAAUGGGCGAAAGCCUGAACUAGCAACACCGCGUGUGCGAAGAACGCCUUCGGGUUGUAACGCACUUUUUGAGAGGAUGAGGAAGGACGGUACUCUCAGAAUAAGUCUCGGCUAACUACGUGCCAGCAGCCGCGGUAACACGUAGGAGGCAAGCGUUAUCCGGAUUUACUGGGCGUAAAGCGCGUGUAGGUGGUUUGGUAAGUAGAGCGUGAAAGCUCCUGGCUCAACUGGGAGAGGUCGUUCUAAACUGCCGGACUAGAGGAUGGUAGAGGGAGGUGGAAUUCCGGGUGUAGCGGUGGAAUGCGCAGAUAUCUGGAGGAACACCGGUGGCGAAGGCGGCCUCCUGGACCAUUCCUGACACUCAGACGCGAAAGCUAGGGUAGCAAACG